rnacentral:lncRNA from 1 species
UCAUUGGGUUCAUCAAUCAAGUGGAGAGAGAAUUCAUGAAGUACAAUCCAAAUUGAUUAGGUACUAUAGUCCAACAUCUCGAUUGGUGAAAAUAAAAUGAUCUAAUCAAGUCAUGGUUAAAUUGAGAUUCAGAUGAAUAAAAUCAUGGAUGAUCAAAUAUAUGUUUCAUGGUUUGAUCAAGGUGCUGGCAUAUUACCUGACAACCAC